rnacentral:tRNA from 1 species
GGGAAUUAGCUCAGUUGGCUAGAGCGCCUGCUUUGCACGCAGGAGGUCAAGGGUUCGACUCCCUUAUUCUCC